rnacentral:rRNA from 1 species
GGUUAAGCGACUAAGCGUACACGGUGGAUGCCCUGGCAGUCAGAGGCGAUGAAGGACGUGCUAAUCUGCGAAAAGCGACGGCGAGGUGAUAUGAACCUUUGACCCGUCGAUGUCCGAAUGGGGAAACCCAGUGCAAUCCGUUGCACUAUCGUUAACUGAAUACAUAGGUUAACGAGGCGAACCGGGGGAACUGAAACAUCUAAGUACCCCGAGGAAAAGAAAUCAACCGAGAUUCCCCCAGUAGCGGCGAGCGAACGGGGAGCAGCCCGGAGUCUGAAUCAGCUUGUGUGUUAGUGGAAGCGUCUGGAAAGUCGCACGGUACAGGGUGACAGUCCCGUACACGAAAAUGCACAGGUUGUGAACUCGAAGAGUAGGGCGGGACACGUGGUAUCCUGUCUGAAUAUGGGGGGACCAUCCUCCAAGGCUAAAUACUCCUGACUGACCGAUAGUGAACCAGUACCGUGAGGGAAAGGCGAAAAGAACCCCGGCGAGGGGAGUGAAAAAGAACCUGAAACCGUGUACGUACAAGCAGUGGGAGCACCUUCGUGGUGUGACUGCGUACCUUUUGUAUAAUGGGUCAGCGACUUAUAUUCUGUAGCAAGGUUAACCGUAUAGGGGAGCCGCAGGGAAACCGAGUCUUAACUGGGCGUUAAGUUGCAGGGUAUAGACCCGAAACCCGGUGAUCUAGCCAUGGGCAGGUUGAAGGUUGGGUAACACUAACUGGAGGACCGAACCGACUAAUGUUGAAAAAUUAGCGGAUGACCUGUGGCUGGGGGUGAAAGGCCAAUCAAACCGGGAGAUAGCUGGUUCUCCCCGAAAGCUAUUUAGGUAGCGCCUCGUGAACUCAUCUUCGGGGGUAGAGCACUGUUUCGGCUAGGGGGCCAUCCCGGCUUACCAACCCGAUGCAAACUACGAAUACCGAAGAAUGUUAUCACGGGAGACACACGGCGGGUGCUAACGUCCGUCGUGAAGAGGGAAACAACCCAGACCGCCAGCUAAGGUCCCAAAGUCAUGGUUAAGUGGGAAACGAUGUGGGAAGGCACAGACAGCCAGGAUGUUGGCUUAGAAGCAGCCAUCAUUUAAAGAAAGCGUAAUAGCUCACUGGUCGAGUCGGCCUGCGCGGAAGAUGUAACGGGGCUAAACCAUGCACCGAAGCUGCGGCAGCGACGCUUAUGCGUUGUUGGGUAGGGGAGCGUUCUGUAAGCCGUUGAAGGUGUGCUGUGAGGCAUGCUGGAGGUAUCAGAAGUGCGAAUGCUGACAUAAGUAACGAUAAAGCGGGUGAAAAGCCCGCUCGCCGGAAGACCAAGGGUUCCUGUCCAACGUUAAUCGGGGCAGGGUGAGUCGACCCCUAAGGCGAGGCCGAAAGGCGUAGUCGAUGGGAAACAGGUUAAUAUUCCUGUACUUGGUGUUACUGCGAAGGGGGGACGGAGAAGGCUAUGUCAGCCGGGCGACGGUUGUCCCGGUUUAAGCGUGUAGGUGUGUGUUCCAGGCAAAUCCGGUUCACUUUAACACUGAGGCGUGAUGACGAGGCACUACGGUGCUGAAGUGAUAAAUGCCCUGCUUCCAGGAAAAGCCUCUAAGCAUCAGGUAACACGAAAUCGUACCCCAAACCGACACAGGUGGUCAGGUAGAGAAUACCAAGGCGCUUGAGAGAACUCGGGUGAAGGAACUAGGCAAAAUGGUGCCGUAACUUCGGGAGAAGGCACGCUGAUAUGUAGGUGAAGUCCCUGCGGACGGAGCUGAAAUCAGUCGAAGAUACCAGCUGGCUGCAACUGUUUAUUAAAAACACAGCACUGUGCAAACACGAAAGUGGACGUAUACGGUGUGACGCCUGCCCGGUGCCGGAAGGUUAAUUGAUGGGGUUAGCGGCAACGCGAAGCUCUUGAUCGAAGCCCCGGUAAACGGCGGCCGUAACUAUAACGGUCCUAAGGUAGCGAAAUUCCUUGUCGGGUAAGUUCCGACCUGCACGAAUGGCGUAAUGAUGGCCAGGCUGUCUCCACCCGAGACUCAGUGAAAUUGAACUCGCUGUGAAGAUGCAGUGUACCCGCGGCAAGACGGAAAGACCCCGUGAACCUUUACUAUAGCUUGACACUGAACACUGGUCCUUGAUGUGUAGGAUAGGUGGGAGGCUUUGAAGCGUGGACGCCAGUCUGCGUGGAGCCGUCCUUGAAAUACCACCCUUUAAUGGCUGGUGUUCUAACGUGGACCCGUGAUCCGGGUUGCGGACAGUGUCUGGUGGGUAGUUUGACUGGGGCGGUCUCCUCCCAAAGAGUAACGGAGGAGCACGAAGGUUAGCUAAUCCUGGUCGGACAUCAGGAGGUUAGUGCAAUGGCAUAAGCUAGCUUGACUGCGAGAGUGACGGCUCGAGCAGGUGCGAAAGCAGGUCAUAGUGAUCCGGUGGUUCUGAAUGGAAGGGCCAUCGCUCAACGGAUAAAAGGUACUCCGGGGAUAACAGGCUGAUACCGCCCAAGAGUUCAUAUCGACGGCGGUGUUUGGCACCUCGAUGUCGGCUCAUCACAUCCUGGGGCUGAAGUAGGUCCCAAGGGUAUGGCUGUUCGCCAUUUAAAGUGGUACGCGAGCUGGGUUUAGAACGUCGUGAGACAGUUCGGUCCCUAUCUGCCGUGGGCGCUGGAGAAUUGAGGGGGGCUGCUCCUAGUACGAGAGGACCGGAGUGGACGCAUCACUGGUGUUCGGGUUGUCAUGCCAAUGGCACUGCCCGGUAGCUAAAUGCGGAAGAGAUAAGUGCUGAAAGCAUCUAAGCACGAAACUUGCCCCGAGAUGAGUUCUCCCUGACUCCUUGAGAGUCCUGAAGGAACGUUGAAGACGACGACGUUGAUAGGCCGGGUGUGUAAGCGCAGCGAUGCGUUGAGCUAACCGGUACUAAUGAACCGUGAGGCUUAACCUU